CACAUGACUCUCGGCAACGGAUAUCUCGGCUCUCGCAUCGAUGAAGAACGUAGCGAAAUGCGAUACCUGGUGUGAAUUGCAGAAUCCCGCGAACCAUCGAGUCUUUGAACGCAAGUUGCGCCCGAGGCCACUUGGCCGAGGGCACGCCUGCCUGGGCGUCACGC
rnacentral:rRNA from 1 species